UUGCAUAGACUUUUGCAGAAGGAAAUCAGUCGUAGCAAGUCCUUGGUGCAAAGGUGCUGGGGACCUCGAAGAGGAGAAGAGAGGAGAAGGAGGCACACAGUGAACCCGCAAUUGGGAGGACUGGGGAACCCCUUCUCCCACCCUUAGAAACAUGGCCUGAGUUAUCUCCAGUGCCUGCAGGUAUGUGGCAGCAAAAAUUAGAACCUGCUGCUGCUUCUGCUGUAAAAAGGAUAAGGAGCAACCUGAAUCUUUAACUCAAGCUAAAGGUAACCCUGUGGGUGGAUGACGAAGAACACCUCAGAUGGCAAAGUUGCCCACAGAAUGCAACAGUUCCAUCCAGGGCCAGCCCAUGGGGGCAUGAGGCCAAUAAAGGACCACACAGUUCCUCUGGAAUGAUGUCUGGUCCUGUAUCUACCUGAGAAGAUGUAAGAUUCUUUCAUCCUUCUACUUGGCCAUCACAGACAACACAUGAAAACAGGUUUAAAAACUCCGUGAAGCGGAGGUGAACAUGUUUGAUUACCCUGUGCCUGUGGUGCCAGCAGAGAUAACCUUUGAAAUUACCCAAUCCUGAAAUUAAAUCAAAAGGAAAUAUAUUCAUUUAAUAAAAUGUAGUUGGUUGA